rnacentral:rRNA from 1 species
UACGUAGGGUGCAAGCGUUAAUCGGAAUUACUGGGCGUAAAGCGUGCGCAGGCGGUUUUGUAAGACUGUCGUGAAAUCCCCGGGCUUAACCUGGGAAUGGCGAUGGUGACUGCAAGGCUAGAGUUUGGCAGAGGGGGGGUAGAAUUCCACGUGUAGCAGUGAAAUGCGUAGAGAUGUGGAGGAACACCGAUGGCGAAGGCAGCCCCCCUGGGUCAAAACUGACGCUCAUGCACGAAAGCGUGGGGAGCAAACAGG